rnacentral:rRNA from 1 species
UACGUAGGUGACAAGCGUUGUCCGGAUUUACUGGGCGUAAAGAGCGCGCAGGCGGUCGUUCAAGUCGCGUGUGAAAGCCCCCGGCUCAACUGGGGAGGGUCACGCGAUACUGAUCGACUCGAAGGCAGGAGAGGGUAGUGGAAUUCCCGGUGUAGUGGUGAAAUGCGUAGAUAUCGGGAGGAACACCAGUGGCGAAGGCGACUACCUGGCCUGUUCUUGACGCUGAGGCGCGAAAGCUAGGGGAGCAAACGGG